GUGCUCACUUUGGCAGCACAUAUACUAAAACUGAAAUAAUAAUACAGAUUAGCAAGGCCCCUGGGCCAAGGAUGACACAAAUUCAUGAAAAAAAAACAAUUUAA
rfam:Ictidomys tridecemlineatus contig043108, whole genome shotgun sequence.